GAAGGGGCCGUGUAUGCUUCGAGAUGAAGGUGAGUAGGAGCAAGAGAAGGGGAAGGGACAGAGAAGUCCAUCCAUUGUAAUAUCCUGAUACCAGCCACCUUGGUCAGAGCUGCAACUGCAAAAGAGAUUGGAUUGUGCAAUACCAUGUCCAAGCAGACAAAACUGUGAUGAACUCAAGACAACUACAUCAUUGCUAAAUAUCAUAUCAGAAAAGCAGGCCAACCAUGCAUUGCUUCAUCAAGCAGAUAUUUCCUUGGUGAGAUUUGACCCAGGUAUUAUGUAGUCAACCAGUGUAGUGAUGACAUGUUUGUAGAACUGAGAAAAGAAGUUGUUUGGAAGAAAAGUGAUCUAGAAAGAAUAGACUCAGAUGUCACUUAUUAAAGGGAGGCCAGAGGGAGAACAGGGCAAAGAACUGCCAGCUUAGGCCAGCCUCUGCUGUCAUCUCUCCACAGUUCCAUGUCAAGUUAUGUUUAUGAAAAUAAUAGAUGCUCAUGUUUAACAAAAGUUCAGACAGCACAGAAAAGUACAGGAUAAAACAGGCUUGAGCCACCGUGCCCGGCCUACUUUGCUCUUUUUAACUGUUGCAUCAUAUUUUGUGGCAUGGAUAUACCAUAAUCAGUGCUUUAUUGAUAUUUUUUCUGAUG
rnacentral:lncRNA from 1 species